rnacentral:rRNA from 1 species
UACGGGGGGGGCAAGCGUUGUUCGGAAUUACUGGGCGUAAAGAGCGCGCAGGCGGUCGUUCAAGUCGAGUGUGAAAGCCCCCGGCUCAACUGGGGAGGGUCACUCGAUACUGAUCGACUUGAAGGCAGGAGAGGGAAGCGGAAUUCCCGGUGUAGUGGUGAAAUGCGUAGAUAUCGGGAGGAACACCAGUGGCGAAGGCGGCUUCCUGGCCUGCUCUUGACGCUGAGGCGCGAAAGCUAGGGUAGCAAACGGG